rnacentral:rRNA from 1 species
AUGGGUGCAGCUCAAAGUGAAGGCAUUCCAGAAGGAGGUCUUGAACUUGAUCCUGCAACGCUCCCCCUUAACUUGGAAGAUGCUUUAGCUUCUGUUGUUCCUGAAAGCAGUUCAGUGAAAGGUCAGGAGUUUGGCACCAUAUACACUCGAUCUGCUGUAGAAGGUACUGAUGUUGAUGAGGAAUCUGGUGGUAUUAUCCAUGCAAAAUUUGGAUGUCCUGAUUCAGAAUUCUAUGACUUUACAGAAAUAAGAUUGCUUUGCAAGUUCAAACCUGGGCAGAUCUGGGCUCUCUACAAUGAUAUAUAUUACUUCCCCAAUUACUAUGCCGUUAUAAAGAAAGUCGAUGUCAAGAAUAAUAAGGUAACAUUGAGAUGGCUCCAUGUCUGUCCUCAGGGAAUGGAGGAGAAAAGAUUGGUCAAAGAAGAUCAUCCUGUUUGGUGUGGAACCUUUAGGGUUUCCACUGGCAAUGAUGGUAUUAGUACUUGCACCCGUACAACAUACUUUUCUCAUCCUGUACCUGGUAGACCAACCGGUAUAAGAAAUGAAUAUGAAAUAUUCCCUCGCCUUCGUGAUGUCUGGGCUGUUUACAAGGACUGGAGGGCUGGGUGGACUGCACAAGAUUUUAAAAAUUGUGACUAUAUAUGA